UACGAAGGGGGCUAGCGUUGUUCGGAAUUACUGGGCGUAAAGCGCAUGUAGGCGGUUGUGCAAGACCGAUGUGAAAUCCCCGGGCUCAACCUGGGAAUUGCAUUUGAAACUGGGAAACUAGAGUGUGUGAGAGGGGGGUAGAAUUCCAAGUGUAGCGGUGAAAUGCGUAGAGAUUUGGAGGAAUACCAGUGGCGAAGGCGGCCCCCUGGCACAACACUGACGCUCAGGUGCGAAAGCGUGGGGAGCAAACAGG
rnacentral:rRNA from 1 species